AUUGAACGCUGGCGGCAGGCCUAACACAUGCAAGUCGAGCGAGCGGCGGACGGGUGAGUAAUGUAUGGGGACUGCCCGAUAGAGGGGGAUAACUACUGGAAACGGUGGCUAAUCCCGCAUACUAUCGGAUAACCCAUAUGGGAUUAGCUAGUAGGUGGGGUAAAGGCUCACCUAGGCGACGAUCUCUAGCUGGUCUGAGAGGAUGAUCAGCCAAACGGCGACUCGAACACGGGCCAGACCCCCAGGGAGGUAGCAGUGGGGACUAUUGGACAAUGGGCUGAAGCCUGAAGCAGCCAUGCCGACGGCAUGAAGAAGGCCUUAGGGUUGUAAAGUACUUUCAGCGGGGAGGCGUUACCCGAAGAAGAAGCACCGGCUAACUCCGUGCCAGCAGCCGCGGUAAUAC
rnacentral:rRNA from 1 species